rfam:Methanosarcina sp. MTP4, complete genome.
GUCAACUGCCCCUCCCUAAAACCCGCCUAACGGCUCAGGUUUUAGGAAGGGGCUUGUCUAACAAGCCCUGGUUGACCAGAUCCCCGAUUAGGAGCUUAGGAAAGAUCGGGAAACGAUAGGAACGAAUUCAUAGUUACCCUGGAAUGCCGCCUCAGUUUCAGGCUCUAAGGAUGCCAGUUAAUCAGUCCUGAGAGGUAGGGACAGUGCUUGCAUCAUAAAACCAUUCCAUAUCUGAUCGAGAGGAAGCCGGA